AAAAGGUUAAAACAAUUUGCUGGCCAAAGAGAUUUCUUUGACAGGGCAGUGUGUCUAGCUGCUGCUUCCUGUCCAACAAAUCUGACCAUUUUGAUGCAUAUCCCAAUGCUAUGAGACCUCUCUACUGUUAUGCCUGUGCUGACUUAAAGCCAGAUGGCAGAUGUGCAAGAAAACCAGGCACCUGUCUUGCCAAAAGGAAUGAGUUAUGCUACAACCGGAUGGUCAGCUGGCGUGAGUAUUAAAAGGAAGAGAUGGAGAGGAACUACGUACUUUUUCUUUGGAGAAAAAGACUAUGAGAUUAUGUUAGUGGACCGGGGCUGCACUUCUAAGUGUCAACAAAUACUAGAAGACGCAAACUAUAGGAACUUUACCUACUGCUGCCCCACCCCUCAUUGCAACAAUGUAAACAUCUGGGAAUAUGGCAAGGUGAAAGUCUAGAAGCUGGAGCAGCAACCCAUCCUUCGCUCCUUCAGUGUUUCUCACCUCCAGCUCUCUUUCAU